AGCUUUGGACCAUGGUAGCAUCGUAGCCAAUAAGGUUAUCCAAGGUGUGAUUAUUGCUAAUUGAAAACUAUAAAAUUGAAAAGAACACCAUGAUAAAAUGGCUUUUUUUCUUUGUUGUGUACCUCAACAGAGA
rnacentral:snRNA from 1 species